rnacentral:tRNA from 1 species
GGCCCCGUCGUCUAGUGGUUAGGACAGCAGAUUUUCAAUCUGUCAACAGGAGUUCAAUUCUCCUCGGGGCUG